rnacentral:rRNA from 1 species
GAUGAACGCUGGCGGCGUGCUUAACACAUGCAAGUCGAACGAAGAGCGAUGGAGGCUUGCUUCUUUCAGUUUUAGUGGCGAACGGGUGAGUAACGCGUAAUCAACCUGCCUUUCAGAGGGGGGAAACAGUGGGAAACGACUGCUAAUACCGCAAACGUUCUAAUCUCGGCAUCGAGGAAAGAAAAAAGGUGGCCUCUAUUUAUAUACUAUCACUGAAGGUGGAGUAUGCGUCUGAUUAGCUAGUUGGGGGGGUAACGGCCCAACAAGGCGAUGAUCAGUAGCCGGUCUGGGAGGAUGAACGGCCACAUUGGGACUGAGACACGGCCCAGACUCCUACGGGAGGCAGCAGGGGGGAAUCUUCCGGAAUGGACGAAAGUCUGACGGAGCAACGCCGCGUGAGGGAUGAAGGCCUUCGGGUUGUAAAGCUCUGUUAAUCGGGACGAAAGGCAUGCUUGCGAACAGUUAGAAGGAUUGACGGUACCGGAAUAGAAAGCCACGGCUAACUACGUG